rnacentral:rRNA from 1 species
GAUGAACGCUGACAGAAUGCUUAACACAUGCAAGUCUACCUGAACCUCGGUGUGGGUGGCGGCCGUGUGAGUGACGCGUAAAGAACUGGCCUCACAGUUAGGGACAACAUUUGGAAACGAAUGCUAAUACCUGAUAUUAUGAUUUUAGGGCAUCCUAGGAUUAUGAAAGCUAUAUGUGCUGUGAGAGAGCUUUGCGUCCCAUUAGCCAGUUGGAGAGGUAACGGCUCACGAAGGCGAUGAUGGGUAGCCGGCCUGAGAGGGUGAACGGCCACAAGGGGACUGAGACAGGGCCAUUACGGCUACGGGAGGCAGCAGUGGAGAAUAUUGGAAAAUGGACCAAAAGUCUGAUGCAGCAAUUCUGUGUGCACAAUGACGUUAGUCGGAAUGAAAAGAGCUUUCAGUUGGGAAGAAAAAAAUGACGGUACCAGCAGAAGAAGUGACGGCUAAAUACGUG